AUAUAUAUAUAUAUAUUGAUGGAUGCGGGUUUAAUCCAUAAUAAGCUUUUAUUGCAAAUUGCUUUGUAUAUGUGAAGUUAAUGGUUGUGAAUUUUCUUUUUUGGGUUCUUUUUGGGAGUCAGAGCUUGCUUUUAAUCCCAAAUUCACAUUUAUUUUGAACUAUUACGAUAGAAUGAAUCUUUUUAAGUACUAUUUUAUUUAUUACUAGCAAACUAAAAGGACUUACUGAUACCAUUGAGAUGCUGACUUGGUGUCACUGCAUGUUACUCCUCAUGUCUGACUGUGGAUUGUGGAAGAAGAAUUCAAUGUUUUUUUUUUACUUAUGAUGAUUUCUAUCUAUUUUGUCGAAGGGGAUGAGUUUAGUUCCUAUGGUGAAUUUGUUGACUGCUCUGUGGAGUAACGGGAUCAAGUUGCAUUCUUUAUUUAAGGGAACUAUUCCCAAUUUUAUUUCGGGGAACUAAUGAAUUUUUCAGUCUUCCGGUGAGAUUUCCCCUGAAUAAUGAAAUUGGUGAUGAAUGGGUUAAUUUAAAUGUCGAGAAUGAUUCUUUUUUUACCAAAUAACAUAUUCUUUAUUUUGGCCAAAUGCAUGUAGGCUAACAAGUUCAAUUACAAUUAAGUGGCUAAAAGUUCUUAAAGUUUUGGCAUGAAAAACUAUUUCUCCAAGCUUGGUUAGUUCAUUGUGAAAUUCUUUUAUUCAUCUUCUACCAAGGACUUUUCAUUUUAUUGAUUCUAAAUGGAAAAUGGCAAAAAUGUCAAAAAUUUUCUUGGUUUCAAUGUUUCCAGAACUCUUGAAAUGGUAAAUUAUAGACCAUAGUUAGGUUUGCAUCCAAAGUUCCAAAGUUUGCUUCAAAUAGAGUCAGUGUUUGUAUUUAAAUUGUAGGGACUAUUUGGCCUGCUUAUUAAUAAGGAUUUUUGGUUAUUCCUUUUUUUUUUCCUUUUUUGGAAAAAGAAAAGAGAAGCAAAAGGCACCUUGGUUGCUUUUGUGUAAGGCUUAUAUGAUGGAUCUUAGAAGGCCUGUAUCUCUCCGUCUUUCCUGAUGACAUAA
rnacentral:misc_RNA from 1 species